AGGUUUCUUCUAUUUGCUCCCAACUACCAAUCUACUCUCCCUUGGCAAGUUUAGAGACCGGAUCACGGAAACAUAAAUACGCUAUACUCCUGGACUGUUUUCAAGAAAUCCUUACGAUAGCGACAAUGGAUUGUCAGGGAGCAAUACAGAAAGUAACUGUUGAUCUAGAACAGGCCCAACAAGAGUAUCAUUUGCUGACCUGGUGAUGGAUGUUUGAUCUGUUACUCGUAUAUGUUGUGUUGAAGAGUUUAAAUAAAUAUUUGAAACGCUAA